UACGAGAGGCGCAAACGUUUAUUCGGAGUUACUGGGCUUAAAGAGUUCGUAGGCGGCGCAGAAAGUAGGGUGUGAAAGCCCUCGGCUUAACCGAGGAAUUGCGCUCUAAACUACUGUGCUUGAGGAACCUAGAGGUGAGCAGAACUGAUGGUGGAGCGGUGAAAUGCGUUGAUAUCAUCAGGAAUACCGGAGGCGAAGGCGGCUCACUGGGGGGUUUUCUGACGCUGAGGAACGAAAGCCAGGGGGAGCGAACGGG
rnacentral:rRNA from 1 species